AACGAACGCUGGCGGCAUGCCUAACACAUGCAAGUCGAACGAGAUCUUCGGAUCUAGUGGCGCACGGGUGCGUAACGCGUGGGAAUCUGCCCCUUGCUUCGGAAUAACAGUGAGAAAUUUCUGCUAAUACCGGAUGAUGUCUCCGGACCAAAGAUUUAUCGGCAAGGGAUGAGCCCGCGUAGGAUUAGGUAGUUGGUGGGGUAAUGGCCUACCAAGCCGACGAUCCUUAGCUGGUCUGAGAGGAUGAUCAGCCACACUGGGACUGAGACACGGCCCAGACUCCUACGGGAGGCAGCAGUGGGGAAUAUUGGACAAUGGGCGAAAGCCUGAUCCAGCAAUGCCGCGUGAGUGAUGAAGGCCUUAGGGUUGUGAAGCUCUUUUACCAGGGAUGAUAAUGACAGUACCUGGAGAAUAAGCUCCGGCUAACUCCGUG
rnacentral:rRNA from 1 species